AUGCGAUCCCUCACUGCCCUGAUCCCCGCCGCCGUCGAUGUUGUUGGACCCAUCACUCGCGGGGCCCUCAGAGGCCGCCAGGCCGUCGGCCUCCCCCCAAAGGAGUCGGAGCCCUCUGGCGCCAGGGGGGGCGCUGCCAUCGCCGCGCCAGGGGCCGCCCACGACACAAGCGUGCUAUGGGUCGACAACUUGCCCGCACACGCGGGCGGGGACAACGUCAUGGCGGCCUUUGCCCUGCACGAGGCGCUCGAAUGCGUCGUCACACACGCCGUCUUCUGCAGCUACGCGUUUGUCCUGUUCUGCUCCGUGGCCGAUUCUAGAGCCGCCCUCGAGGCGCUCUGCGGGUCCAAGGUCAAGGGCGCGUUCAUCAGGGUCGAGUUCGCCCAGCAGAUAACUUCUUACCCCCUCCUUCUCUACCCGCCAUUCGGAUCCGCUCCCACCUUGGAACCCCUCGGGAUCUGGCUGUAG
rnacentral:rRNA from 1 species